UUCAGCAUAGUGUAAUGGUUUGAGCAUAGGACUAUGACUCUGAAGACCAGGGUUCAAAUCCCUACUCAGAAA